ACAGAACGUGUUCAGCAAAGGAAGUUUCCGGACGCCCUCGCUACGCUCAUGGAAAUGAAAAAUUACAUUCUAGUGCGUUUUUUCUGCAUCGCUCUAAUAAGUGUCAACAGCAAUGAUGUUGUAGCGGGCAAUAGCAUCACCGUUUACCCUCAGGUUUUUCAAGACCGAUCAGACAGCACCGACAAACGCCUCGUUCUUCACGAAGGAUACUCUGACAUUAAAUAAGGGUUCAGUCCUGGCCGAUAGCGUGUUAUUCCGACGCGUCACUGAUGACGGCGUCAUCGAAAGCUAUAUUGAUGGAAAGCACUACGAACGGCACCUCUACGAAAAUCUCGAAGAACAAGCAUCUUUACUGGUGACACCUCAAGAGGAAGGA